UACGUAGGGGGCAAGCGUUGUCCGGAUUUAUUGGGCGUAAAGAGCGUGUAGGCGGUUAGGUAGGUCCGUUGUGAAAACUCGAGGCUCAACCUCGAGACGCCGAUGGAAACCAUCUGACUAGAGUCCGGAAGAGGAGAGUGGAAUUCCUGGUGUAGCGGUGAAAUGCGCAGAUAUCAGGAAGAACACCCGUGGCUAAGGCGGCUCUCUAGUACGGUACUGACGCUGAGACGCGAAAGCGUGGGGGAGCGAACAGGAU
rnacentral:rRNA from 1 species